AACGAACGCUGGCGGCAGGCCUAAAACAUGCAAGUUGAACGGUUGUAGCAAUACAACGAGUAGCGGACGGGUGAGUAAUGUAUGGGAACAUGUCCUUUAGUGGGGAAUAGCUUCUGGAAACGGGAGGUAAUACCGCAUAAGACCUGAGGGUGAAAGCAGAGAUGCGCUAAAGGGUUGGCCCAUAUCAGAUUAGCUAGUUGGUUAGGUAAAAGCUGACCAAGGCGACGAUCUGUAGCUGGUUUGAGAGGAUGAACGGCCACAUUGGGACUGAGAUACGGCCCAGACUCCUACGGGAGGCAGCAGUGGGGAAUAUUGGGCAAUGGGCGCAACCCUGAUCCAGCGAUGCCGCGUGAGGGAAGAAGGUUUUCGGAUUGUAAACCUCUGUUGACAGGGGACGAUAAUGACGGUACCUGUUUAGAAGCCACGGCUAACUACGUG
rnacentral:rRNA from 1 species